GCCCUGUUAGCACAGCUGGUAGUGCGUCAGACUUCUAACAUCAUUCUGUUGUCAUCUGAAGGUCGCGGGUUCGAGCCCCGCAUGGGGUU
rfam:Cryptococcus bestiolae CBS 10118 unplaced genomic scaffold supercont1.7, whole genome shotgun sequence.